rnacentral:rRNA from 1 species
ACACGGACCAAGGAGUUUAUCGUGUACGCAAGUCAUUGGGUGAAUAAAACCCAAAGGCGAAAUGAAAGUAAGAGUUGAGCAUAAUUAAAAAAUUUUGUUUUUUUUUUAUGUUCCUCUUAAGUGGAGAUAGAAAUUGCGUUAAUUAUAGUUUCAAACCUGUUUUAAACUAUUUGUUAAUGUAAAUUUCUCGCACUCACAGGGCGCUAGUUUAACGCUAGCGUGACAAUGCGCACCUAGAGCGUACACGAUGAUACCCGAAAGAUGGUGAACUAUGCCUGGCCAGGACGAAGCCUGGGGAAACCCUGGUGGAGGUCCGCAGCGAUGCUGACGUGCAAAUCGAUCGUCGGAGCUGGGUAUAGGGGCGAAAGACCAAUCGAACCAUCUAGUAGCUGGUUCCCUCUGAAGUUUCCCUCAGGAUAGCUUGCUCUUAGAUAAAGAGUCUCGUCCCGUAGAGCGAAUGAUUAGAGGCAUUGGGGUCGAAACGACCUCCACCUAUACUCAAACUCCAAUAGAUGAGAUCCCCGGCUUUCUUAAAAUUGAAGCCGUGGGAAUAGGAUCAGAGUGCCAAGUGGGCCAAUUUUGGUAAGCAGAACUGGCGA